rnacentral:tRNA from 1 species
ACUAAGUUGGCAGAAUUAUGUGACUGAUUUAGGAUUAGUAGAAAUAGGAUAAAUCCUUUACUUAGUA